GGGUUGUGAGGUUAAGCGACUAAGCGUACACGGUGGAUGCCCUGGCAGUCAGAGGCGAUGAAGGGCGUGCUAAUCUGCGAUAAGCGCCGGUAAGGUGAUAUGAACCGUUAUAACCGGCGAUACCCGAAUGGGGAAACCCAGUGUGAUUCGUCACACUAUCAUUAACUGAAUCCAUAGGUUAAUGAGGCGAACCGGGGGAACUGAAACAUCUAAGUACCCCGAGGAAAAGAAAUCAACCGAGAUUCCCCCAGUAGCGGCGAGCGAACGGGGAGGAGCCCAGAGCCUGAAUCAGCAUGUGUGUUAGUGGAAGCGUCUGGAAAGGCGCGCGAUACAGGGUGACAGCCCCGUACACAAAAGCGCAUGUGCUGUGAGCUCGAUGAGUAGGGCGGGACACGUGGUAUCCUGUCUGAAUAUGGGGGGACCAUCCUCCAAGGCUAAAUACUCCUGACUGACCGAUAGUGAACCAGUACCGUGAGGGAAAGGCGAAAAGAACCCCGGCGAGGGGAGUGAAAAAGAACCUGAAACCGUGUACGUACAAGCAGUGGGAGCCCCACCACUAAGCCAGUGGUGAACUCCACAUACGCAUCCUUUGCUGAGGAUACGGUUAACGGAGCGAAAGCGACGUUCAACCUCAAAAGAAGCAGAGGGGGCUUAGUGGUGGGGUGACUGCGUACCUUUUGUAUAAUGGGUCAGCGACUUAUAUUCUGUAGCAAGGUUAACCGAAUAGGGGAGCCGGAGGGAAACCGAGUCUUAAUUGGGCGUUAAGUUGCAGGGUAUAGACCCGAAACCCGGUGAUCUAGCCAUGGGCAGGUUGAAGGUUGGGUAACACUAACUGGAGGACCGAACCGACUAAUGUUGAAAAAUUAGCGGAUGACCUGUGGCUGGGGGUGAAAGGCCAAUCAAACCGGGAGAUAGCUGGUUCUCCCCGAAAGCUAUUUAGGUAGCGCCUCGUGAAUUCAUCUCCGGGGGUAGAGCACUGUUUCGGCUAGGGGGCCAUCCCGGCUUACCAACCCGAUGCAAACUGCGAAUACCGGAGAAUGUUAUCACGGGAGACACACGGCGGGUGCUAACGUCCGUCGUGAAGAGGGAAACAACCCAGACCGCCAGCUAAGGUCCCAAAGUCAUGGUUAAGUGGGAAACGAUGUGGGAAGGCCCAGACAGCCAGGAUGUUGGCUUAGAAGCAGCCAUCAUUUAAAGAAAGCGUAAUAGCUCACUGGUCGAGUCGGCCUGCGCGGAAGAUGUAACGGGGCUAAACCAUGCACCGAAGCUGCGGCAGCGA
rnacentral:rRNA from 2 species